rfam:Capsicum annuum cultivar Zunla-1 chromosome 9, whole genome shotgun sequence
UGAUGUUGGUGAGGGCAAUUUCUGAUCAUACUUUUAAAUCUCUCCCAAGCUUGGUAGAGAUUCACUCCUUCUUUCUGUCUGAAACUCAAAAUCUCACUUCUCAAACG